GAUGGAGGGGGAUAACUACUGGAAACGGUAGCUAAUACCGCAUAACGUCGCAAGACCAAAGAGGGGGACCUUCGGGCCUCUUGCCAUCGGAUGUGCCCAGAUGGGAUUAGCUAGUAGGUGGGGUAACGGCUCACCUAGGCGACGAUCCCUAGCUGGUCUGAGAGGAUGACCAGCCACACUGGAACUGAGACACGGUCCAGACUCCUACGGGAGGCAGCAGUGGGGAAUAUUGCACAAUGGGCGCAAGCCUGAUGCAGCCAUGCCGCGUGUAUGAAGAAGGCCUUCGGGUUGUAAAGGACUUUCAGCGGGGGAGGAAGGGAGUAAAAGUAAUACCUUUGCUCAUUGACGUUACCCGCCGAAGAAAGCCCCCGGCUAAUUCCGUUGCCAGCAGCCCGCGGUAAUACGGAGGGGUGCAAGCGUUAAUCGGAAAUUACUGGGGCGUAAAGCGCACGCCAGCGGGUUUGUUAAGUCAGAUGUGAAAUCCCCGGGCUCAACCUGGGAACUGCAUCUGAUACUGGCAAGCUUGAGUCUCGUAGAGGGGGGUAGAAUUCCAGGUGUAGCGGUGAAAUGCGUAGAGAUCUGGAGGAAUACCGGUGGCGAAGGCGGCCCCCUGGACGAAGACUGACGCUCAGGUGCGAAAGCGUGGGGAGCAAACAGGAUUAGAUACCCUGGUAGUCCACGCCGUAAACGAUGUCGACUUGGAGGUUGUGCCCUUGAGGCGUGGCUUCCGGAGCUAACGCGUUAAGUCGACCGCCUGGGGAGUACGGCCGCAAGGUUAAAACCCAAAUGAAUUGACGGGGGCCCGCACAAGCGGUGGAGCAUGUGGUUUAAUUCGAUGCAACGCGAAGAACCUUACCUGGUCUUGACAUCCCGAUGCUAUUCCUAGAGAUAGGAAGUUUCUUCGGAACAUCGGUGACAGGUGGUGCAUGGUUGUCGUCAGCUCGUGUCGUGAGAUGUUGGGUUAAGUCCCGCAACGAGCGCAACCCCUAUUGUUAGUUGCCAUCAUUAAGUUGGGCACUCUAGCGAGACUGCCGGUAAUAAACCGGAGGAAGGUGGGGAUGGCGUCAAAUCAUCAUGCCCCUUAUGACCUGGGCUACACACGUGCUACAAUGGUUGGUACAACGAGUCGCGAGUCGGUGACGGCAAGCAAAUCUCUUAAAGCCAAUCUCAGUUCGGAUUGUAGGCUGCAACUCGCCUACAUGAAGUCGGAAUCGCUAGUAAUCGCGGAUCAGCACGCCGCGGUGAAU
rnacentral:rRNA from 1 species